GCCCUAUCUCUAGGCUUUAGAGGUCUAGGGGUGUUUAAGAGGCCUCUCGUAUGUGUGGUGUGUUUGUUCAUAUGGAAAGUAACUGUGAGUAACCUAAAACAAGUUCUGGUUUAACUUUUUGGCAAACAGAUUUACACUCUCCUGGGACUUCAGGUCCCUGUCUGUACGGCUGGGUUGGCAGUGGGUUCGAACGGGUCCACUCGGGAUGGGUUCCAG